rnacentral:rRNA from 1 species
CGGGGUGCAGCAGGCGCGAAAACUCUACAAUGCAGGCAACUGCGAUAGGGGAACAUCGAGUGAUCCUCAUAUUGGGGGUCUGUCCACCCGUCUAAAAAACGGGUGUUAGCAAGGGCCGGGCAAGACCGGUGCCAGCCGCCGCGGUAAUACCGGCGGCUCGAGUGGUGGCCGAUAUUAUUGAGUCUAAAGGGUCCGUAGCCGGCUUUGCAAGUCUCUCGGGAAAUCCAGCGGCUUAACCGUUGGUCGUCCGGGGGGUACUACAUUGCUUGGGACUGGGAGAGGUAGGAGGUACUCAGGGGGUAGGAGUGAAAUCCUGUAAUCCUUUGGGGACCACCGGUGGCGAAGGCGUCCUACCAGAACAGGUCCGACGGUGAGGGACGAAAGCUAGGGGCACGAACCGGAUUAGAUACCCGGGUAGUCCUAGCCGUAAACGAUGCUCGCUAGGUGUCACAACAGUCGUGAACUGUUGUGGUGCCGUAGGGAAGCCGUGAAGCGAGCCACUUGGGAAGUACGACCGCAAGGUUGAAACUUAAAGGAAUUGGCGGGGGAGCAC